ensembl:lncRNA
GGUUUAGGUAAACUGGGACCUGGUAGAAUCCAUUGAAGGGUUUAGGUAAACUGGGACCUGGUAGAAUCCAUUGAAGGGUUUAGGUAAACUGGGACCUGGUAGAAUCCAUUGAAGGGUUUAGGUAAACUGGGACCUGGUAGAAUCCAUUGAAGGGUUUAGGUAAACAGUCUGGGACCUGGUAGAAUCCAUUGAAGGGUUUAGGUAAACUGUCUGGGACCUGGUAGAAUCCAUUGAAGGGUUUAGGUAAACUGUCUGGGACCUGGUAGAAUCCAUUGAAUGGUUUAGGUAAACUGUCUGGGACCUGGUAGAAUCCAUUGAAGGGUUUAGGUAAACUGGGACCUGGAAGAAUCCACUGAAGGGUUUAGGUAAACUGGGACCUGGUAGAAUCCAUUGAAGGGUUUAGGUAAACUAGGACCUGGUAGAAUCCACUGAAGGGUUUAGGUAAACUGUCUGGCACCUGAAGAAUCCAUUGUCGGGUUUAGGUAAACUGUCUGGGACCUGGAAGAAUCCAUUGAAGUGUUUAGGAAAACUGUGACCUG